AACGAACGCUGGCGGCAUGCCUAACACAUGCAAGUCGAACGAGCCCUUCGGGUCUAGUGGCGCACGGGUGCGUAACGCGUGGGAACCUGCCCUUAGGUUCGGAAUAACUCUCCGAAAGGGGUGCUAAUACCGGAUAAUGUCUUCGGACCAAAGAUUUAUCGCCUUUGGAGGGGCCCGCGUUGGAUUAGCUAGUUGGUAGGGUAAAAGCUUACUAAGGCGACGAUCCAUAGCUUGUCUGAGAGAAUGAUCAGCCACACCGGGACUGAGACACGGCCCAGACUCCUACGGGAGGCAGCAGUGGGGAAUAUUGGACAAUGGGCGAAAGCCUGAUGCAGCAAUGCCGCGUGAGUGAUGAAGGCCUUAGGGUUGUAAAGCUCUUUUACCCGGGAUGAUAAUGACAGUACCGGGAGAAUAAGCUCCGGCUAACUCCGUG
rnacentral:rRNA from 1 species